AUUGAACGCUGGCGGCAGGCUUAACACAUGCAAGUCGAGCGGGGUGAUGGUGCUUGCACUAUCACUUAGCGGCGGACGGGUGAGUAAUGCUUAGGAAUCCGCCUAUUAGUGGGGGACAACAUCUCGAAAGGGAUGCUAAUACCGCAUACGUCCUACGGGAGAAAGCAGGGGAUCACUUGUGACAUUGCGCUAAUAGAUGAGCCUAAGUCGGAUUAGCUAGUUGGUGGGGUAAAGGCCUACCAAGGCGACGAUCUGUAGCGGGUCUGAGAGGAUGAUCCGCCACACUGGGACUGAGACACGGCCCAGACUCCUACGGGAGGCAGCAGUGGGGAAUAUUGGACAAUGGGGGGAACCCUGAUCCAGCCAUGCCGCGUGUGUGGAGAAGGCCUUAUGGUUGUAAAGCACUUUAAGCGAGGAGGAGGCUCUUUUGGUUAAUACCCAAGAUGAGUGGACGUUACUCGCAGAAUAAGCACCGGCUAACUCUGUGCCAGCCGCCGCGGUAA
rnacentral:rRNA from 1 species